rnacentral:lncRNA from 1 species
AUACUUGGAGGCCAUGUCACCUGAGAGUCAAUGGGCAACGAUCAAAUUUCACCUUGAGCAGAUUCUUUUGUUUGCUUUUUAGUCACAAAUAGCUUGGCCCUAAGUGGUGGCUCCCAUUCUUGUAAGAUGCGUUUAUUCAUCGUGUAAUCACCAGUUCCCUGUAGUGGGGGCGUGGAUGGAGUGUCAGAGGCUCCUGCUGGUCUUUAGGGUGUCUGGCCUCCAGGAAUCCUAGAGUAAAUUGGGAACUACAGCACUCGAUGUUAGAGUUGUCGUGAAGAUUAAAGAAGGUGACGACUGGACAACUCCCAGCCCAAUACCUGAAACUGUACCAGCACCCAGUGAGCACUGCUAUUCCUGUGACUGCUGCACAUUUGCCUUAUCUCAGCAGUAUGCCUGUGUCACUUUUUUGUGAAGAGAACAUCCCGUGUACUAUCGUGUAGAAGUUGUAGUAGACGCUGUGGUCUUUCCAACAACAAACAAAGAGGGAGGUAUCCAGAGAGGCUAAUGGAAGAGACAGGCUUUGGGAUUUAUUUGCAGAGAGGUUAGGCAUUCAGACAUGUGGAAAGAGAGAUGAAAGGAAAGUGCACCUGAGGCUGAACAAGUGACUAAAGGAGAAGCCACUGUGCCUGUCGAAAGAACAAUGAAUAAUCCAGAAUUGAUAGAUAAGUAAGACUGGGGAAGGAAGAGAAAGGAAGACACAGCCUCUGAGAGCCGGAUGAAGACACAAAUGGGAUGGAGGCUGCGGCUGUUAAACCAUCAGGACUCAGCGGCUGUUAAACCAUCAGGACUCAGCAAUUAUUUCAUGUGGAGACAAGUGAUGGCAAAGCCAAAAGGCCACGGGUGUUGAGCUGUUGACGAGAAACUGAAAGUGCCAUUGUGUUUAUACAGGAAGCUGCCAUUAGUAGGGAUUUGAAAAAGCAAGAGGAGAGGAUGAGUUUAGUGGGGAGUUCUUACACUUCAGGUGCUAGUGGAUACCACCAAGUCAAUAUUGAGUAGCAGGAAACCAGGGCCUGAUGUUCCGUCAGGCCAUCAGGGCGGAGACAUUGUGGAGAGGAAGUUUUGAGGCUGUGAGAUUAGGAGAGAAGCAUGGAGUGUAGAGCAGGAACUAGGCCUCUCUUUACCCAAAAUCCAAAACCCCACUUAUGCCAGACACACUCAAUACUUUCUGCUGGGAUCCUCAAUUCUCAUAAAGUUUUCAUAAUAAGGCCGGGCGGGGUGGCUUAUGCCUGUAUUCCCAGCACUUUGGGAGGCCGAGGCGGGCGGAUCACCUGAGGUCAGGAGUUCAAGACGAGUCUGGCCAACAUGGUAAAAACCUGUCUCUACUGAAAAUACAAAAAUCAGCCGGGCUUGGUGGUAGGCGCCUACAGCUAGUCGGGACGCUGAGGCAUGGGAAUCGCUUGAACCCAGGAGGCAGAGGUUGCAGUGAGCCAAGAUCAUGCCACUGCACACCAGCCUGGGGGAUACAGCAAGACUCUGUCACAAUAAAAAAAACAAAAAGUUUUCAUAAA